rnacentral:RNase_P_RNA from 1 species
UGAUUGAAAUGAGACUUCAUCGCUCCGUUAUUGGAGAGGAAAGUCCGGACAACGCAGGGCACCGUACUUCUCGAAAGGAAGGCAUGUUUUACAUGACAGAUAGUGCUGCAGAAAUUUAAACCGCCGAUGGCUCAGUUUCAUAACAGAGCACAGGUAAGGGUGAAAAGGUGGGGUAAGAGCCCACCAGCGACGAAGUGAUUCGUCGGCUUUGGUAAACCUUGCGGGUUGCAAGAUCGCAUAGGCUGGCAUUUUGAGGGCUGCUCGCCCAAGCCAGUGGGUUGAUUGCACAGAUAAAUGAUGAAGCACCUUCAGAGGUGAACAGAAUCCGGCUUAUCAUUCAAUCAUUUU